rfam:Sus scrofa chromosome 11.
UUUUUAGUAUAAGUAUAUCCCAUGCAAUAUUUAGGAUAUACUUAUAACUGAAA